AUUGAACGCUGGCGGCAGGCCUAACACAUGCAAGUCGAGCGGAGCGGCAGACGGGUGAGUAAUGCCUAGGAAUCUGCCUGGUAGUGGGGGAUAACGACCGGAAACGGGCACUAAUACCGCAUACUAUCAGAAGAGCCUAUGACGGAUUAGCUAGUUGGUGGGGUAAAGGCCUACCAAGGCGACGAUCCCUAGCUGGUCUGAGAGGAUGACCAGCCACACUGGAACUGAGACACGGUCCAGACUCUUACGGAAGGCAGUAGUGGGGAAUAUUGCACAAUGGGCGCAUGCCUGAUGCAGCCAGGCCGCGUGUGUGAAGAAGGCCUUCGGGUUGUAAAGUACUUUCAGCGGGGAGGCGUUACCCGCAGAAGAAGCACCGGCUAACUCCGUGCCAGCCGCCGCGGUAAUUC
rnacentral:rRNA from 1 species